CCCCGCCGCCGCGGGGCCACGUCUCCGGUCUGACGCACGCGGCGGCGGCCGGGGGGCGCCGGUCGGGCCGGGCCGGGCCGCCCCCGCUGGCCCAGCCGCGACAGGCGGGACAGCCGCGCUCCGCCCGCUCCCGCUUGCCCGGAGGCCGGGCAGCAGGGGGCCGCUAACGGUAACCGGCAGCCGAGGCCUCCGGGAGGGCCCGCGGCAUCCGCGGCUGGAGCGGCCGUCGGCCGCGGCGGACGGAGCUGCGAGUCGGGGGCUGGCAGAACAAACGCCGCAUAAACAGGCUGGUUUGGGGCUUGUGUCUCCACAACGUGCAGUCCGUGCCGCGGGCAGCGAUGCCGGGUGGAGGGGACCACGGGGGGCCGUCCCCACGCCGCGGGCGGCUUCGGUCUGUGUCUGGAGGAUGGCAGCAGAAAUUGUUACGGAAAGACCUUGACCUCAACGCACAGAGCUGUGGAAAGACUACAAAGAGACCAGGCUAUAAAGCGCCUGGGAUUCCAUUAACAAUAGAAAAGUGUCCCAAAGAGUGACAAUUGGAAACACAAACUUCUGGCCCAGCGCUUCAAAAAGCGCAGACUGAAAACUGCUGCUGAAGAAACCACAUAUUUGAAGGGACUUUUGUUCAGCAUUUCCAAGAAAGAUUUACAUCUCUGGCAGAACGAAGAGACAGGAUAAAUUCUGCAUCAGAGGGAGGUACUUGCCCUCUAAUGACUUGCCCCUAACCUUAGGGUAGCUUGUAUACCCCCUUAGGGGCCUUACAAAUAUGUAAACAUAAAGAAAUACAAAUAUAUAAGCUCACUAGGGGGGAGUUAAUGGAAACAAAUACAACAUGAGGCACCACAGCUGUUUUGCCGCAAAAAAAAUUAACUGUGUUGGGAUGUGGACCAAAGGUCUGCUGUGGAUAGCUGUGGGUAAUUCUGACUUCACGUACUCCCUGACCCAUCUGCUUCAGGAACUGCCGAGGGCAGACACAGGUCUUUCGUUUGGGAGUUGCUGAUGUGAUUUAUAGCUGUGGGAGUCCAGCUCAUCGUUUGACUGAAGUGUUUGCUUAAGUGCUUUGCCGUGCAGAGCUGCUUUCCUCAGCUAAAGCCUUGAGGCUUUCUGAGACACCUCAAGAAACAAGGGUCUUAAUCUGGCAGGAGCUGGAAGAGGUUUUUGGCAUAGCUCCUUCCCCGUCCUUCAGAGCCGCCAGCCUAAAAGAUGUCAGCAAUACUGCACCAUUACGUAAUUGUUGCCUCUUUGGUUUUCGUUGACACCAGAGGACUGUGGGACAGUUUGUAAAGGAAGUGCCAUUGCUGCAAACCUGGUGCAUUUGCCUUCGCUGUUGAUUGUUCUAUUCUGUCAUUCAGAAUUUACAAACUCCAGCAGCGUUACUGCUGCUACUAAGUGCUACCUCGCAGUAUUUAAGAACCAAAUGCAGUGCUGGUUUGCACCUGAGUUGAAACCAUCACAGACCAGCCUCCAGAAUCAGCUGGACACAGGGACAGAUUGCACCGGCAGUGCUUACAUGGCAGUUAUCCCCGGUCAUGGACCCUUGAGCUGAUUCCUGAGUGCAAUCCAGGCUCAGGAUGCCCAGUUGUGAAGUCUUGGCUCAGCACCAACAUAGCAUCUGCCAGCAUACAGCUCCCACCUUCUGCUGAUUCCUGCUCAGUUGGUUGGUUUGUUUUUGUUUUGUUGGUUUGUUUGGUUUUGUUUUUUUCUCUCUCUGAUCCCUUGUUAAUUUGAGGAUAAACCCUGAAAAAACUGAAAGCCAUCCCAUACCCAAAGGUCCGGGGUCCCAAGAGCAGCCCUGAAGCUGGGGCUGAGGGGAUGGUGCUGUGCAGAGCUUGACAGACCACAUCCCCUGCCAGCUUCGGGAGAGGCUGGGGCUAGAACACAGUUUGAGUGCAAGAGCUUUGUCUCUACCCACAAUGCAAAUGCUUUUCAUCAGUCAUCUCUCCAACAACUGUUGAAAACAGCAUAAUCUGCUAACACAGAAAAGCUAAAUUGCUUUCAGACAAAGUAGUGAAAAACUGCUUCUGUGAUUCAACUCGAAUCCAAAAUUUGACAGCUGUAGUGCUUCUUAGCUGCUUGAAGUUUCUGUCAAAGUUUCUUUUCCCCUAGUUUGCAUUUAUCUAGUUUUACAUUUUAACUCUUCUCCCUCCAGAUUCACGUUUUUGAAAUUUGAAUUUAAAUGCACCAGAUGUUUAAAUAGUAGCAACAUACUGGAAAUAGGCUUUAAAAUAAAUUGCAUGGAUGUUAUGGGCUGAGUCUGGGGAGGAGAAGCACAGCUUCAGAGCAAGGUGAAGAAUAUGCUGUAAUUUCUUAAGCCUGCAGCAUUUUCUACAUACUAUACCUUUACAGCAUCAGAAGGAAAACCCUGAAAGGAUGUUUAAUCUCAUGAGCUCUUUUGUUGUUCCUAAGUAAAGAGGAGCCAUUUAAUUGUAAUCAUACCAUUCAUCACUGGUAUGAUUACAAUUAAAGCAGUGCAAUUACAUCAGGGAAGAAUUUGGCCCGACUAGUUAUUUGUAGAGAAGCUAUCGACAGUGGUCCCCAUGUACCUCCUACUGUUGAGAAAACAGAGAGCUAAAGACAUGCCAAAAGAAACAGGGAUAACUCCAGUUUUCUGACCUUUGGCUGAACCAGAGCUCCUGGAUCUGAAUGAUGCUUCACCUUUGUUACGCUUCUGAUCAUCAUUAGGUUUUCUUCAGUGAUCCAUCUGAAAACAUCUUUCUAUCUGGGGACCUCCAGCGCUAUGCUGGCUACAGCUAUUGCAGCUCCGAGCCACUGAGCCGUGCGCUUCAUGGGAGCAGCAUCUUAGCUAAUUUUAGAUGUGACGUGAUGCAGUGAGUGGGGGUAGCUCACAUGAGGCUGGAGGGAUGGAGCCCAGCAGCCAUGAAAUUCUGCCGUUAAAUUACCCACCUUUUUGUCCACUGUCUUUAAACGCUUACUUGUAGAACUUCUGCUGCUAGCAAAUCUGUGUCAAUAAAUCAUAAUUUAUAAACACGAAUAGCACAUUCUUCAUGAAAAUAUCCUUUUACAUAUCUAAAUGGUAAAGUAAACGUUUGAAAAAACAGGUCCCUAAAUUUUUAAGGUAUUUUAAAACAGUAAUCUCAAAAUAAACAAGAAGAAAUGUUUGU